UUAAUCUUAGGAUUACCUUGUUAAUGACUCUAGUGUGGCUGUGAAGGUUGUGUGAUUUCUCAUGUUGGGACUGUAGCUUCACUCCCUUACUGGAACUGAAGCUCUUGAAUAUUUCUCCUCCUUGCUAAAGCACCAGCUACUCCUCCAGAAACUGAAGUAUUUGGACACUUCUUCUUGAGCUGGACUGCUGGAACACCACUUGCUCCUUCACUUCAGCAUCUUCUUGCUACUUUGGUUUAUAUGGUAAGAUAUGUGAAAAUCUUAAUUGGCAUCUGGAUCUGCUACUUUCCUUGCUCUUCCUGGAGUUGAUCCUCUUGCUUGAUUGCUGCUCCAUCUUGCUUGAGCUGCUACUGGUUACUACUCCUCUACUACUAAUCUGACCUCUCAUUCACUCACCCUAGCCUCCCCUGGUUGCACACACAAGGUUGCUACGGCUGUGGUGAUGCAUGGGUGAGAUGUUGAACUAGUGAUCUGCUAGCUGUGAUUAUUCCUCUUUGACUUGAGCAGAAUCCCCAACCGAACUGAUGUUGGUGACUGCUGUUGCGGCAGCUGCUGCUAUUGUUCUUUGCAGUAGAAAUUGGUGGUACUAUUGCUGUGGCUACUGCUGACCUCGGUCUCUACGAUACAAUAGCUUGGGGAGGAAUGAGUUCACACUGCAGUAGUCAUCUUGGUCUUCCUUAAGUGACUCACCUACUUGGGGCUGGUUGUCUGCAGCUAAGCUUGACACCUAAGCAAUGCAUGCUCGGUGGAAUGAUGGAUAGAAUUUUACUAAUUUUCAGUUUAAAUGGAAAAUCUGGUAAAGUAUGAUAUGUUUGAUACUUUUGCACAUGAGUUCCUCAAGUCUGGUAAAAUUGGAGGUUACUAUUAGUUUAGGGACUGACUUUUAAUUUAUUCUAUAACGCACGGUCCCUUUUUGAAAUAUUACUAAUUACACGAUAUGUUCUCGGCUAA
rnacentral:lncRNA from 1 species